rnacentral:rRNA from 1 species
GAAAAGAACCAACAGGGAUUGCCCCAGUAACGGCGAGUGAAGCGGCAACAGCUCAAAUUUGAAAUCUGGUCCCCAGGGCCCGAGUUGUAAUUUGCAGAGGAUGCUUUUGGUGAGGUGCCUUCCGAGUUCCCUGGAACGGGACGCCAUAGAGGGUGAGAGCCCCGUCUGGUUGGAUACCGAGCCUCUGUAAAGCUCCUUCGACGAGUCGAGUAGUUUGGGAAUGCUGCUCUAAAUGGGAGGUAUAUGUCUUCUAAAGCUAAAUAUUGGCCAGAGACCGAUAGCGCACAAGUAGAGUGAUCGAAAGAUGAAAAGCACUUUGAAAAGAGGGUUAAAUAGUACGUGAAAUUGUUGAAAGGGAAGCACUUAUGACCAGACUUGGCCCCGGUGAAUCAUCCAGCGGUUCCCGCUGGUGCACUUUGCCGGGGUUCAGGCCAGCAUCAGUUCGCUCCGGGGGAUAAAGGCUUUGGGAAUGUGGCUCCCUCGGGAGUGUUAUAGCCCAUUGCGUAAUACCCUGUGGCGGGCUGAGGUUCGCGCUUUAUGCAAGGAUGCUGGCAUAAUGGUCAUCAGUGACCCGUCUUGAAACACGGACCAAGGAGUCGUCUUCGUAUGCGAGUGUUCGGGUGUUAAACCCCUACGCGUAAUGAAAGUGAACGCAGGUGAGAGCCCUCCAGGGCGCAUCAUCGACCGAUCCUGAUGUUCUCGGAUGGAUUUGAGUAAGAGCAUACGGGGCCGGACCCGAAAGAAGGUGAACUAUGCCUGUAUAGGGUGAAGCCAGAGGAAACUCUGGUGGAGGCUCGCAGCGGUUCUGACGUGCAAAUCGAUCGUCAAAUAUGGGCAUGGGGGCGAAAGACUAAUC